rnacentral:rRNA from 1 species
GAUGAACGCUGGCGGCGUGCCUAAUACAUGCAAGUCGAGCGAACAGACGAGGAGCUUGCUCCUUUGACGUUAGCGGCGGACGGGUGAGUAACACGUGGAUAACCUACCUAUAAGACUGGGAUAACUUCGGGAAACCGGAGCUAAUACCGGAUAACAUGUUGAACCGCAUGGUUCAACAGUGAAAGACGGUCUUGCUGUCACUUAUAGAUGGAUCCGCGCCGCAUUAGCUAGUUGGUAAGGUAACGGCUUACCAAGGCAACGAUGCGUAGCCGACCUGAGAGGGGGAUCGGCCACACUGGAACUGGGACACGGUCCAGGCUCCUACGGGAGGCAGCAGUAGGGAAUCUUCCGCAAUGGGCGAAAGCCUGACGGAGCAACGCCGCGUGAGUGAAGAAGGUCUUCGGAUCGUAAAACUCUGUUAUUAGGGAAGAACAAAUGUGUAAGUAACUAUGCACGUCUUGACGGUACCUAAUCAGAAAGCCACGGCUAACUACGU